CCUACGGGAGGCAGCAGUGAGGAAUAUUGGUCAAUGGGCGCGAGCCUGAACCAGCCAAGUAGCGUGAAGGAUGACUGCCCUACGGGUUGUAAACUUCUUUUAUAAAGGAAUAAAGUGAGGCACGUGUGCCUUUUUGUAUGUACUUUAUGAAUAAGGAUCGGCUAACUCCGUGCCAGCAGCCGCGGUAAUACGGAGGAUCCGAGCGUUAUCCGGAAUGAUUGGGCGUAAAGGGUGCGUAGGCGGCCUGCUAAGUCUGGAGUGAAAGGUACCGGCUCAACCGGUACAGGCUCUGGAAACUGGCGGGC
rnacentral:rRNA from 1 species